rnacentral:rRNA from 1 species
AAUGAACGUUGGCGGUGUGGAUUAGGCAUGCAAGUCGUGCGCGAAACGUAGCAAUACGUGGAGAGCGGCGAAAGGGAGAGUAAACCAUGGUUAGCUGCCCUCGGGACUGGAAUAGCGGCGGGAAACUGCCGGUAAUGCCAGAUAACGUCUUCGGACCAAACGUGUAAACCGGCCCGAGGAGGCGACCGUGUCCUAUCAGCUUGUUGGCGGGGUAACGGCCCACCAAGGCUAAGACGGGUAUGGGGCGUGAGAGCGUGCCCCCACUCACUGGGACUGAGAACUGCCCAGACACCUACGGGUGGCUG